UACGUAGGGGGCAAGCGUUGUCCGGAAUCAUUGGGCGUAAAGCGCGUGUAGGCGGCUCAGUAAGUCUGUUCUGAAAGUCCAAGGCUCAACCUUGGGAUGCGGAUGGAUACUGCUGGGCUCGAGUCCGGAAGAGGCGAGUGGAAUUCCUGGUGUAGCGGUGAAAUGCGCAGAUAUCAGGAGGAACACCGGUGGCGAAGGCGGAUCUCUGGGCAGUAACUGACGCUGAGGAGCGAAAGCGUGGGGAGCGAACAGG
rnacentral:rRNA from 1 species